rnacentral:rRNA from 1 species
AACGAACGCUGGCGGCAGGCUUAACACAUGCAAGUCGAGCGAGAUCUUCGGAUCUAGUGGCAGACGGGUGAGGAACACGUGGGAACAUCCCUUUCAGUUCGGAAUAACGUUGGGAAACUAACGCUAAUACCGGAUACGUCUUUCGGGAGAAAGAUUUAUCGCUGAAAGAUUGGCCCGCGUCUGAUUAGCUAGUUGGUGAGGUAAUGGCUCACCAAGGCUACGAUCAGUAGCUGAUCUGAGAGGAUGAUCAGCCACAUUGGGACUGAGACACGGCCCAAACUCCUACGGGAGGCAGCAGUGGGGAAUAUUGGACAAUGGGCGCAAGCCUGAUCCAGCCAUGCCGCGUGAGUGAUGACGGCCUUCGGGUUGUAAAGCUCUUUUGUCCGGGAAGAUAAUGACUGUACCGGAAGAAUAAGCCCCGGCAAACUUCGUGCCAGCCGCCGCGGUAA